UGAUGAAGAACACAGUGAAAUGUGAUAAGUAAUGUGAAUCGCAGAAUUCAGUGAGUCAUCAAAUCUUUGAACGCACCUUGCACCUUUUGGUAUUCCAAAAGGUACACCUGUUUGAGUGUCAUGAAACCCUCUCAUUAAUUAACUUUUUCAUUAAAGUUUCUUGAUGGAUGUUGAGUGUUGCUGUGAUUUUUUUACAGCUCACUUUAAAGACAUAAGCUCUUAUCAACUGAUUUGGACUGACUUGAUGUGAUAUAUAUCAACUUCAUCAAGGAAUGUAUUAUCUACAGCCAAUCAUUUUCUGAUAAGUAGGCUGCUAAAUUCUUUCAUGUGUACUCCAUGUGAAAAAAUACUCUUUUUUAAGACCUCAAAUCAGGUGGAAUUACCCCUGAACUUAAGCAUAUCAAUAAGCGGAGGAAAAGAAACUAACAAGGAUUCCCC
rnacentral:rRNA from 1 species